AAAUCAUGAAAUAUCAAAGGAAGUGGGGAGAAUUGUUCCCUACUUUCCUGCGGUAAGGGUCAGUACAAUCUUUAAGGUUAUAUUGAGUUACAUUGUCACCGUUACGGUCGUGUAUCUGUAUUCCCGACAAGGUAUAACAAGCUCAUCAUCUGCCAUCUGUUGUUAAAUAAUAUGAAUCACUUGGAAAUGAUUUUCGUUUGAUGUCGCUAAUGUCAUUUUCCUUCUUUUAUAUAUGCUUAUCUCAUAAGCUAACUAAAUAUUACGUGAAAUUGUGGAUAGAAACAUUGGAGAAUUACGUGUGAGAUGGUCAAAGUACAAGUUUAAAAAACGACCGUUAUUUAUUAAAGAUGAGUUGUAACAAAGAUCGAGACAAUGACAACUUGUUGAAAAAAUUAAGAACCGAAGAAAAUGAGGUUGCAAAAUGCAAAAGUGGCGCAGACAAUAAUGAAGGGCACAAAUUACGACAGGGAACUGAUAGUUUUCCAAAUAUUAAUGAAAGACCAGUCGACGAUAUAUCUAUUGAAUUCUUUUAUAAACCACACACUAUUACGCUACUUCUUAUUUCAAUAGCUGCCGUAAUUUAUUCAGCUUUUACAAGGAAUACCAACAAUGUGGAAGACAACAUGUGGGCUGGCAUGUUGUGCGUUAUCUUUUUCUUCCUUAUUAUAUCAGUGCUUACAUUUCCAAAUGGACCAUUUACAAGACCACAUCCAGUUGUUUGGAGAAUCGUUUUUGGUUGCAGUGUACUUUAUUUGAUGGGUUUACUCUUUAUGUUAUUUCAAAAUUAUGAUACUGUUAGAAAAAUUCUUGUGUGGGUGGAUCCUGGUUUAGCAUCUUUUCACAUAGACAUGGACAAGGAAUAUGGUGUUAAUUGCUCAGACGUUACGAUAGAAAAAAUAUGGAAUCACUUGGAUGUGUUUGCACUUGCUCACUUUUUGGGCUGGGCCUUUAAAGCUAUUCUUAUACGUCAUCUUGGUAUUCUUUGGGCUAUUAGCGUUAUGUGGGAAGUAACAGAAAUAGCAUUCGCGCAUUUACUACCAAAUUUUAUUGAAUGUUGGUGGGAUGCUUUUAUACUUGAUGUUUUGGUAUGUAAUGGCCUUGGAAUUUGGGUUGGAUUAAAGAUAUGUUCUAUCUUGGAAAUGAGAGAGUAUAAAUGGGUCAGUAUAAGGGACAUAGAAAGUACUACUGGCAAAUUAAAAAGAGCAGUUCUUCAAUUUACUCCUGGUAGUUGGACUUCCGUAAGAUGGUUAGAUCCAACGUGCACUCAUAUGCGAUUCGUAGCUCUUUGCCAGCUAGUUAUUUUCUGGCAAGUUUCUGAGCUGAAUACAUUCUUCCUGAAACAUGUAUAUGAAUUCCCACCUUCUCAUCCGUUCGUCAUAACACGAUUGGUAUUGAUUGGAGUGAUCGUUGCUCCAUCAGUUAGGCAAUAUUAUAUGUAUGUAACUGAUCCAUCAUGCAGUAGAGUAGGGACUCAGUGUUGGGUAUAUGGUGCCAUUAUGGUAACAGAGGCAUUACUUUGUAUCCGUCAUGGUGCAGCACUGUUUGAACGGACACAAGCCUUAAACAUACUCCUUUGGCUUCUUUGUCAGUCUCUAGUUUCUGUGUUAUGCGUCUAUGGCUGUGUUUUGUGGCAUCAGUACUUUGAGACGGAUAAGAAAACUGUUAAAAAGCAAUCUGUGAUCAAACUACACGAGAGCCGCUUGGAUGUAACUUGUAGUGGGGAUAUGGCACACCACACACAAUCUGUGGAUUCGAUGGAUAAAAAAGGACAGUGAAACGGUACCUUGUAAUAAUUAACCAAAUUAAUGGUUAAUUUAUCAUACUAUGCAACUUUCUAGUCGUUCAGAAGCGUACGAAUGAAUUUGUAAGCUUAGCAAAAUAGGACUGGAUGUAUAUUUCGAAAUCUUUUGAUUCUUCGAGAUAUGGAAAGACAUCACAAGUACUACUGGGGACAAUUUGUGAUCCUUCAGAACAAUUCCAUGUUUCGCCCAGUAAGUUAUUGUUAGAUGCAGAAACGAAGACACGGAUACGGCUAGGUAAUUCUUCAUUUUCAUGAAGAGAGAUAUAAGAUGUUGUCAAUAACGAUUUCGUACAAUACAUCUGUAAAAUCCAUUAUAAAUAUUUUUGGAUUUCAGAGAAUAUUGCUGUUAUAGCAGCUCUAUUUUGAGAAAGAGAUAAUAAUUAGCAAUAAUUUAAAUUUAACUGUGAAAAGGUACCUGAGCAUAAGUAAGGUAGAAUGAUUGAUUUAUAUUUGGUUUUAGCCACGGAAGAUAAUGUUUUGAAAACGGUUGUAGCCUCUCAAAAGUAUCAUAUGUUAAUCUAAGUCCCAUGAUUUCGGAUAAACGUUCGUUUAAUGUCAAUUCUGAAAUCUAAA